rnacentral:lncRNA from 1 species
ACCAACUCAUCCUACACCGGGAAUCGGUUCCUACUCAUAACGAUGGAAGGCCACGUGGGUCAGUCUAAUUGCCUCAUGUUUACCGACUUAAUAUUAUCGAGAGAUGUUUCUAUAAUUUGGUCUCCUAAUAUGACAUGUCACACAUAUACAUAUUUAAUAUAUAUCUACAUCGCAUGCAAAUAUAUAUACUUAUCUAGUAUGUGUAUAAUCAAUUACACCAGAUGAUCAUGGACCACAACCUAAUAUGAUUAGGCCCGAGCCAGUAGGCCUAAUCACUCACAUCAAGAUCUAUGU